GGCUCGGUAUCUUAGUUGGUAAAGCACUUAUCUAGCGUAUAUGGGUCUUGAGUUCAAAUCUCACCUGAGCUG
rnacentral:tRNA from 1 species